CUGUUGGGGUGGGGGUGAGGGUGCUGAGGCUUCCCCCAUCCCCCACUCAUCUCUUCAGGACACCUGCACCCACAGGGCUGAGUGGUGGAGGUGAGUACCCUGCUUCUAGAACCCCAAGCCUAUGCUGUACUCAGACCCCCACCUCAGCCCACAGCUGGGGAUAGAGGGACCAAGCCGUCGGGCAAUUAAGGAAAAGGAAGUUGAGGUCACCCUGCAAUUACUCUGGACUCUGACCCACUGAUGUUCCCCCUGGACAGGCUGGAGGCCUUGGCCAUGGGUAGUGGGGGCCGCAGGAGCCGGACUGUGUGCCUGCAGCAGUGAGGACAAGUCUCCACGUGGCUCUGAGUCCAAGCCAUGUGUCCAGCCUUUUGACCCUGGGGCUGCAGCCUUGACCACCAACAGCAGCAGUGGAUCCUGGAGACCUGAGCACCUGGAGUUCUUCUCCACCAUGGGGGAUGAGCAGGCAGGUGUCUGACCACUGAGACAGGCAGAAG